AAUAUCCACAAGAGGGGAAAGUCUUAGCCGGGCACCCCGCGGGGGUGAGGAAGGUCUUUGGGUUGUUAAACUCUUUUGUCUGGGAAGAAAUAUCUUCUUUUGAAAUCCGGCCGGAAUGACGGUAUCCCACGAGUAAACCCCGGCUAAAUACGUGUCCCCGGACGCGGUUUUAUGUAGAGGGCGAGCGUUUUUCUGAAUUAUUGGGGGUAAAAAGCGCGCAGGCGGUUUCUUAAGUCUCAUGUGAAAACCCCCGGGUCAACCCCGGAAAAUCACUUGAAACUGGGGGGGUGGAGUGCGGGGGAGGGGAGUGGAAUUCCCACGUGUAGAGCUGAAAAGCGUAGAGAUGUGGAGGAACACCCGUGGGGAAAGGGGCUCUCUGGCCCGUAACUGACGCUGAGGCGCGAAAGCGUGGGGAGCAAACACGAUUAGAUACCCCGGUAGUCCCCCCCCUAAACGAUGAGUGCUAAGUGUUAAGGGCAUCCAACCCAUCAGUAGGAAACUAACACACUAAACACUCCGCCUGAACU
rnacentral:rRNA from 1 species